CUGUUGGGCAUAUAAUGUAUGCCUCUACUGUAAGCCGUCCUGAUGUCGCCUGUGCAAUAGGUAAACUGAGUCAAAGGUGUGCAAAUCCUACUGUGUCUGACUGGAAGGUAGUGAAGCGUACCUGCUAAAGACCAAAGAUUUAAAGCUGGUAUAGCAAAAGACAGGACAACUUUUGAAAGUGUUUCGCGAUUCAAAUUUUGCAGGGCGUUCAGUAGACAGAAAAUCUAGAAGUGGGUAUGAUUUCAUACUUGCUGGUGGUGCAGUAUCUUGAUUGUCGCAGAAGCAACCUGUUAUAUAUCAGUCGAGUUGUGAAGCAGAAUUUGUAGCAAUGCAGGAGGCAGCAAGGGAGACUGUAUGGAUAUCCUUACCGUUAAAGGAGUUGAGUGAAUUGUCAUAUUAUCCCCGUCCAUGCAAAAUUCUCUGUGACAAUAUUGGAGCUAUUUCAUGGUCCAAGGAUGAGGUAGUCGCUGAGGGUUCUAAGCAUAUAUCCUUACCAAAGGUUUGAGUAGAAUUAAGACUCAGUAUUUUACCAAAGAUAUGGGGUUUGUAGAAACUAUGAUCAAAGGGGAGUAUUGAGAUAAAUGUUAUGUUGGUAUGAUCACUAGUUUUCUAUAAUCAGAGUUGAUCCAAUUGCUUGCGGUUCUUUUGUUGUUUUUCCCUGUCCGCAACGUUUCUUUUAUCUGAGUAUCCGGUGUGUUGUAAUGGCUGUACAAGGUGAUGAAAUACAGAACGUACAAUACUAA